GUUGAAUCACCGGUUCCCGUACGAUCACCGAAGUUAAGCAACGUCGCGCUUGGUCAGUACCUGGAUGGGUGAUCGCUUGGGGAUACUAGGUGCUAUAA